UGGGGAAUAUUGCACAAUGGGCGCAAGCCUGAUGCAGCCAUGCCGCGUGUAUGAAGAAGGCCUUCGGGUUGUAAAGUACUUUCAGCGGGGAGGAAGGUGUUGUGGUUAAUAACCACAGCAAUUGACGUUACCCGCAGAAGAAGCACCGGCUAACUCCGUGCCAGCAGCCGCGGUAAUACGGAGGGUGCAAGCGUUAAUCGGAAUUACUGGGCGUAAAGCGCACGCAGGCGGUCUGUCAAGUCGGAUGUGAAAUCCCCGGGCUCAACCUGGGAACUGCAUCCGAAACUGGCAGGCUUGAGUCUUGUAGAGGGGGGUAGAAUUACAGGUGUAGCGGUGAAAUGCGUAGAGAUCUGGAGGAAUACCGGUGGCGAAGGCGGCCCCCUGGACAAAGACUGACGCUCAGGUGCGAAAGCGUGGGGAGCAAACA
rnacentral:rRNA from 1 species